rnacentral:rRNA from 1 species
AGAGUUUGAUCAUGGCUCAGAACGUACGCUGGCGGCACGCCUAACACAUGCAAGUCGAACGAAGUAGCAAUACUUAGUGGCAGACGGGUGAGUAACAUGUAGGUAUCUGCCCUUUGGCCUGGAAUAACACGAGGAAACUUGUGCUAAUACCGGAUAAGUCUUUACGGAGAAAGCUUUAUGCACCAUUGGAUGAGCCUGCACUUGAUUAGUUUGUUGGUGGGGUAAUGGCCUACCAAGACUGUGAUCAAUAGCUGAUUUGAGAGGAUGAUCAGCCACAUUGGGACUGAGACACGGCCCAAACUCCUACGGGAGGCAGCAGUGGGGAAUCUUGCACAAUGGAGGAAACUCUGAUGCAGCGAUGCCGCGUGAGUGAAGAAGGCCCUUGGGUUGUAAAGCUCUUUCGUCGGGGAAGAAAAUGACUGUACCCGAAUAAGAAGGUCCGGCUAACUUCGUGCCAGCAGCCGCGGUAAUACGAAGGGACCUAGCGUAGUUCGGAAUUACUGGGCUUAAAGAGUUCGUAGGUGGUUGAAAAAGUUAGUGGUGAAAUCCCAGAGCUUAACUCUGGAACUGCCAUUAAAACUUUUCAGCUAGAGUAUGAUAGAGGAAAGCAGAAUUUCUAGUGUAGAGGUGAAAUUCGUAGAUAUUAGAAAGAAUACCAAUUGCGAAGGCAGCUUUCUGGAUCAUUACUGACACUGAGGAACGAAAGCAUGGGUAGCGAAGAGGAUUAGAUACCCUCGUAGUCCAUGCCGUAAACGAUGUGUGUUAGACGUUGGAAAUUUAUUUUCAGUGUCGCAGCGAAAGCGAUAAACACACCGCCUGGGGAGUACGACCGCAAGGUUAAAACUCAAAUGAAUUGACGGGGACCCGCACAAGUAGUGGAGCAUGUGGUUUAAUUCGAAGAUACGCGCAGAACCUUACCAACACUUGACAUGUUCGUCGCGACUCUAAGAGAUUAGAGUUUUCGGUUCGGCCGGACGAAACACAGGUGCUGCAUGGCUGUCGUCAGCUCGUGUCGUGAGAUGUUGGGUUAAGUCCCGCAACGAGCGCAACCCUCACUUUUAGUUGCCAUCAUUAAGUUGGGCACUCUGAAAGAACUGCCAGUGAUAAGCUGGAGGAAGGUGGGGAUGACGUCAAGUCCUCAUGGCCCUUACGUGUUGGGCUACACACGUGCUACAAUGGUAUCUACAACAGGAAGCAAGACUGCGAAGUUAAGCAAAUCCCUAAAAGAUACCUCAGUUCGGAUUGCACUCUGCAACUCGAGUGCAUGAAGCUGGAAUUACUAGUAAUCGUGGAUCAGCGUGCCACGGUGAAUGCGUUCCCGGGUCUUGUACACACCGCCCGUCACACCAUGGGAGUUGGUUCUACCUUAAGGCAAGGUUUCAAACCCUUGACCACGGUAUAGUCAGCGACUGGGGUGAAGUCGUAACAAGGUAACCGUA